UGGGGAAUUUUGGACAAUGGGGGAAACCCUGAUCCAGCCAUGCCGCGUGAGUGAAGAAGGCCUUCGGGUUGUAAAGCUCUUUCAGCCGGAACGAAACAGUCACGGCUAAUACCUGUGACUACUGACGGUACCGGAAGAAGAAGCACCGGCUAACUACGUGCCAGCAGCCGCGGUAAUACGUAGGGUGCGAGCGUUAAUCGGAAUUACUGGGCGUAAAGCGUGCGCAGGCGGUUUUGUAAGUCAGAUGUGAAAUCCCCGGGCUUAACCUGGGAACUGCGUUUGAAACUACAAGGCUAGAGUGUGGCAGAGGGGGGUGGAAUUCCACGUGUAGCAGUGAAAUGCGUAGAGAUGUGGAGGAACACCGAUGGCGAAGGCAGCCCCCUGGGUUAACACUGACGCUCAGGCACGAAAGCGUGGGGAGCAAACAGGAUUAGAUACCCUGGUAGUCCACGCCCUAAACGAUGUCAACUAGUUGUCGGGUCUUAACGGACUUGGUAACGCAGCUAACGCGUGAAGUUGACCGCCUGGGGAGUACGGUCGCAAGAUUAA
rnacentral:rRNA from 1 species